CCUACGGGUGGCAGCAGUGAGGAAUAUUGGUCAAUGGGCGAGAGCCUGAACCAGCCAAGUCGCGUGAAGGAUGAAGGCUCUAUGGGUUGUAAACUUCUUUUAUAUGGGAAUAAAGUGAGGAACGUGUUCCUUUUUGUAUGUACUUUAUGAAUAAGCAUCGGCUAACUCCGUGCCAGCAGCCGCGGUAAUACGGAGGAUGCGAGCGUUAUCCGGAUUUAUUGGGUUUAAAGGGUGCGUAGGUGGUUAGUUAAGUCAGUGGUGAAAGUUUGUGGCUCAACCGUAAAAUUGCAGUUGAUACUGGUAGACUUGAGUAUAUUUGAGGUAGGCGGAAUGCGUGGUGUAGCGGUGAAAUGCAUAGAUAUCACGAAGAACUCCGAUUGCGAAGGCAGCUUACUAAACUAUCACUGACACUGAUGCACGAAAGUGUGGGGAUCAAACAGGAUUAGAUACCCCAGUAGUC
rnacentral:rRNA from 1 species